AUAUGUGUGUGUAUGAGUUCAGAUGCAAAAGCCUCUAAGUGCCGUCUAAAAUUUUCCUCUAAAAUGAGCAGUUUUAUCAGGCUUCUAUGUUUAAGUUCAGUAAUUUUACUCUAAUGGCAA